UACGUAGGGCGCAAGCGUUGUCCGGAAUUAUUGGGCGUAAAGGGCUCGUAGGCGGUUUGUCGCGUCGGGCGUGAAAACCUACAGCUUAACUGUGGGCUUGCUUUCGAUACGGGCAGACUUGAGGCAUGCAGGGGAGAACGGAAUUCCUGGUGUAGCAGUGAAAUGCGCAGAUAUCAGGAGGAACACCGGUGGCGAAGGCGGUUCUCUGGGCAUGUUCUGACGCUGAGGAGCGAAAGUGUGGGGAGCGAACAGG
rnacentral:rRNA from 1 species